GAUGAACGCUAGCGGCAGGCUUAGCACAUGCAAGUCAGGGGUAACAUAGAAAAGCUUGCUUUUCUGAUGACGACCGGCGCACGGGUGCGUAACGCGUAUACAACCUACCUUUUAGCGGGGAAUAGCCCAGGGAAACUUGGAUUAAUGCCCCAUAGUAUAUAGACUUCUCCUGAAGUUUAUAUUAAACAUUUAUGGCUAUUAGAUGGGUAUGCGUCCUAUUAGUUAGUUGGUAAGGUAACGGCUUACCAAGGCAGCGAUAGGUAGGGGUCCUGAGAGGGAGAUCCCCACACUGGUACUGAGACACGGACCAGACUCCUACGGGAGGCAGCAGUGAGGAAUAUUGGACAAUAGGCGAGAGCCUGAUCCAGCCAUGCCGCGUGCAGGAAGACUGCCCUAUGGGUUGUAAACUGCUUUUACAGAGGAAGAACCACCCCCACGUGUGGGGGUUUGACGGUACUCUGCGAAUAAGGAUCGGCUAACUCCGUG
rnacentral:rRNA from 1 species